CCUGUCAUCGCAUCCCUUCUCAGAGAUGUCUGCGGGAGCAAGGGCUGCAGGAAAGGGGGAAAAACCCGACCUGUCUGGAUAAUCUUGGAAAUCAAAAUGCUGUGCUUCAGAGGAGUGGCACGCGUGGUUUCCCCGCAGGGCUACAUUCGUAACGGGAUUACAGCACCCAACUCCAGUUUAAGCCCAGCCUGAGGAGGUCCCAGCCUGCGGGGAGCUGACGCUGACUCCGGGGAGGCAUACAUGAAGUGUACUGUGGUGCACAUCAAAGCAGGACUCCAGCCUGCACAGGGAAAACUGAAGAGGAACAGCAACAGAGGGCUCAGAAAUGGAGAGGAAGACCCGCUCCAGGGAGCUGGACUAGUCAUGUUGAGGGCCUGGGCACCUGGACCCACCACCUUGCAUGCAAGAAGAGCAGGGGUGGCUGCAGCGGUUGAACAUGGAUGCAGCCAGUGCUCGGGAGCGGUGCAGGCACUGGUGAGAUGGUCCCUGGCGAGAUGGGCUGCUGACAGCCAGGGCUUCUUGUGGUCAGGGUCUCCAGUAUGGAAGAAUUGGAAGACAGUGGGGAACAUGCAUCUGAUGUUGUCAGGCUUGGCCAGAGCCAGGUGCCAACUGAGGGAGUAGGUCAGGGAGUGUGCUUCUUACUCAUCCACUCACGCAGCAAAACAUUUUCUUGAUGGGAGGAGCUGGUUUGGUCAUAGGACCUUGUUUGCCACUGACUUGUGACUUGCACUAGCUUGGCCCCACUUACUAUGCAUUUGUUUUUCCUUCCUCCCACGUUUAAGUACUGGUUUUGAACACAAUUGAGUGGCUUUUAUUUAUCAGUUAAUGAUGGAGCAGUUAGAUAACUGAGUCCCCAAUCUCACAACCUCCUUUAAGUCAGGUGGCACUGCUGCUCUCUGAGGGCAUGUCAGAUCUGUGUGAGAUGAGGUUGAAUUUUUGUGUUUGGAAAAGUCACACAUUUUUCCUUAGUCCCCCUGAAAGUGGCUACCCUUUCAGUCUCCCUGGGUUUCAGUGAACGUAAGCCUAUGUUGCUGGAGACAGCCGUAGGAAUUUGGAUGCCCACACACCUGCUGAAGAGGCAGUUUUGCUGGGACUUUUGUCUCCUUCCAGCACUUCCACAUCUUGAUAUCACCCCACUGCUGACAGUAGAGCCACCACAUUAUUUGCUCUAUGCCCUUUCCUGGGAGAUCACUAUCUCCUAUGCUUGGUGUGGCCUGUGCUUGUCCUCCCAUUCACUAUAGCUGUUCUGGGGGUAACUCAGCAGGGAGAUGUAGACUACCAUGGGAAGUCUCCUGUUGUUCUUCAUGGUCUGCAGCAGGUAGGAAGCAAGGACUUGUACCACCCCAGCAGUUAAAAGCAGUGGCUAUGCUGCACUGCUUCCUUCGGUUCAAUGCUUCCUUGAUGUCCCUUUCUUCCUUCCCCAUCUCCCACUCUUGCAACCAAUGUGUAGUAGAGUAGCCCUGAGGAAGACAGCUGAGCUGCGAGGGCAUACUGCCUUUUCCAGCACCCGUGGCACGCAGCCACUAUCUGACCAUAAGCUCCUGAAGACCAGCGAGGAACUGCCUUCCAGCGGGUCAGGCUGCCUUGCUCAGGGCUUGAAAUGGCUGAUCCUGGGCCUUUCUUCCAGCAUUAGGUAUACCCACCUGGUAUAUCAUUUGUGCCUUGAAUGCUGCAAGUUGGGCAAGCUUUCUGAACUGACUCUGCACCCUGGUGGGUAAGCUUGAUGUCAUUGGUGCAUAGGAAAAAACAGCUAAGGCCUCUGGGAGAGAGAGGGAGAGCUGGCUUCAAAUUCAUGCUUUAUCCAGUCUGGAGCAAGGUCUGAAAUCCCAGACUGUCAAGUGAGUGUGUGGACUUCUGGAGGCGUUUUUCCAUCCCACUUUUCCAAUAGUGCUUGCACCAGCUGCAUGCAGAGGACUGGCGCACUGAGUGGAACAAGGACUGUAACACGGAUCUUCCAGAUGUGUACUCUAGCUCUAGAUUAGCUAUAAAAAUCUCCCUAAUUUACCUGAGAUUAAAUUAUUAUAUACAGAUGAAAGAACAUAAAGAAUAAAACUGAGAAUAUUGUUAUUUUCUUUGAUAAUGCUUGCCAUAGAUAAACACUGGCAUUUUAUACUUAGUAAUAUAGUGGGCACAUUUUGCUCCUAUAAAACCAAAGCAUUAUUUAAUAAGAGGCAGCCUUUUACCUUGGAGCAAACAGAACUUUGGUAUUGCUGAUAGUUGUAUCUGAACAGCGUAAUCAGGGAAGCCUUGUAAUCAUGCUGUUAGAAAACUAAAAUAAGCUUAAGUUGUACAUUUUGUGGGAUUACAAUCCCUCCAUCCACUAGGUGGAGUGGGAUCCGGGAAUGGCUGAGACAAGCUUGUGUGCCACACAACGUCAGGUAACAGCAGAGAAACAAAAGCAAAAAGGGAAGUUUUCAAAUAGUAUUGAGCAAAAUAGCUGUAUUAACUUGCCAGUCAACAUAGAUACAGGAGGGGAUAUUCCAUUUAGAAAUUAGAUCGGCAUAUUUCACAUAAAGUAGAAAGGAAAAUUUUGAUUACGAGAAAUGCCUUUUUUCAGUAUGGUGAUGUUACUCUUUUCUUUCUUUUUUAAAAUUUCUAGACCCAAGUACAAUUAGAUCUUGCAUGAAUACUAAGGAGAAAAUACUAACUUACUUUAUUAAGAUACAUAUCUUCGGCAUGCUAUAUUAACUCGAUUUAAUUGUUUUCUGAAAUAUGAGCUGCAUUAUAGUUUUAUUCAUAUCUGUUACCCAAGAUUGUUACAUUAGUGACUGUCAUCACAUUAUUCCCAUCUAAAAGACCGCAAUUCCAAGCUGGACCAGCACUGCUUUCUUGGUUGGGUAGCAUGCUGUUUUUUGGGAAAGAUGCGGACACCUGAAAGGCGUGGAUCUUUGUUGGGAGGGAGAUGCAGAAAUCGCACGGUCCUGGAAACUCCUGGCCUGCACCAGAUGUGCCAGACUGGUGCAGAAGGAGGUGUCACGGGAGGGGAUUGGUGUUCCGACCUUGAGCCAGACAACUGGGGUCUAGUUCAAAAUAUUUAUUAAUUUAUUUAAACCAGCAUACAUUCAUAUCAUGGCCUGUGUUUUGUUCUUGUUCCUCCUCCCUACCCUUUGAAAUAACUCAAAUUUAAAAAGAGUAGGCAUGAA